rnacentral:ncRNA from 1 species
UACCUGGUUGAUCCUGCCAGUAGUCAUAUGCUUGUCUCAAAGAUUAAGCCAUGCAAGUCUAAGUACGAGCUCUCGUACAGUGAAACUGCGAAUGGCUCAUUAAAUCAGUUAUGGUUCAUUUGAUCGUACAGUUUACUUGGAUAACUGUGGUAAUUCUAGAGCUAAUACAUGCGAGAAGCGCCGACCUCGCGGGAGGCGUGCAUUUAUCAGACCAAAAACCGGCCGCGUCUUCGGGCGCGUUCGCCUUGGUGACUCUGGAUAACUUUGCGGAUCGCACGGUCUAGCACCGGCGACGGAUCAUUCAAGUGUCUGCCCUAUCAACUUUCGUCGGUACGGUAUUUGCCUACCGAGGUUCUUACGGGUGACGGGGAAUCAGGGUUCGAUUCCGGAGAGGGAGCCUGUGAAACGGCUACCACAUCCAAGGAAGGCAGCAGGCGCGCAAAUUACCCAUUCCCGACGCGGGGAGGUAGUGACGAAAAAUAACAAUGCAGGACUCGUUCGAGGCCCUGUAAUUGGAAUGAGUACACUUUAAAAGCUUUAACGAGUAUCCAUUGGAGGGCAAGUCUGGUGCCAGCAGCCGCGGUAAUUCCAGCUCCAAAAGUAUAUAUUUAAGUUGUUGCGGUUAAAAAGCUCGUAGUUGGAUUUUGGGCGCAGGCGGCCGGUCCGUCGCAAGGCGUGUACUGGACGUCCUGGCCUUCCCUCCGGUUCUCCGCCGGUGCUCUUGACUGAGUGUCGGCGGCGGCCGGAACGUUUACUUUGAAAAAAUUAGAGUGUUCAAAGCAGGCUCUCGAGCCUGGAUAAUGGUGCAUGGAAUAAUGGAAUAGGACCUCGGUUCUAUUUUGUUGGUUUUCGGAGCGCGAGGUAAUGAUUAAGAGGGACAGACGGGGGCAUUCGUACUGUGCCGUUAGAGGUGAAAUUCUUGGAUCGGCGCAAGACGAACGACUGCGAAAGCAUUUGCCAAGAAUGUUUUCUUUAAUCA